CGUAACAAGGUCUCCGUUGGUGAACCAGCGGAGGGAUCAUUACAGAGUUGCAAAACUCCCUAAACCAUUGUGAACGUUACCUAAACCGUUGCUUCGGCGGGCGGCCCCGGGGUUUACCCCCCGGGCGCCCCUGGGCCCCACCGCGGGCGCCCGCCGGAGGUCACCAAACUCUUGAUAAUUUAUGGCCUCUCUGAGUCUUCUGUACUGAAUAAGUCAAAACUUUCAACAACGGAUCUCUUGGUUCUGGCAUCGAUGAAGAACGCAGCGAAAUGCGAUAAGUAAUGUGAAUUGCAGAAUUCAGUGAAUCAUCGAAUCUUUGAACGCACAUUGCGCCCGCCAGUAUUCUGGCGGGCAUGCCUGUUCGAGCGUCAUUUCAACCAUCAAGCCCCCGGGCUUGUGUUGGGGACCUGCGGCUGCCGCAGGCCCUGAAAAGCAGUGGCGGGCUCGCUGUCACACCGAGCGUAGUAGCAUACAUCUCGCUCUGGGCGUGCUGCGGGUUCCGGCCGUUAAACCACCUUUUAACCCAAGGUUGACCUCGGAUCAGGUAGGAAGACCCGCUGAACUUAAGCAUAUCAAUA
rnacentral:rRNA from 1 species